AAAGUCGUAACAAGGUUUCCGUAGGUGAACCUGCGGAAGGAUCAUUACACUCAGUAGCUUGCUACUGUCGGGAGGCGCUGUAAGUCUGCAUAGUUUCAUUACUGAUGAGCAGCAGGCCCUCUGUCUGUACCCUUGUCUUUUGCGCACCUAUGUUUCCUCGGCGGGCCUGCCCGCCGAUUGGACAAUACUAUAACCUUUUUAAUUUUCAAUCAGCGUCUGAAAAAACUUAAUAAUUACAACUUUCAACAACGGAUCUCUUGGUUCUG
rnacentral:misc_RNA from 1 species